UGCACUAGUUUCUCGGUGCCCAGAUGAGUC
rnacentral:piRNA from 1 species